rnacentral:rRNA from 1 species
ACACGAAGGGGGCAAGCGUUGUUCGGAAUAACUGGGCGUAAAGCGCACGUAGGCGGAAUGUUAAGUUAGAGGUGAAAUCCCAGGGCUCAACCCUGGAACUGCCUUUAAUACUGGCAAUCUAGAGACCGAGAGAGGUGAGUGGAAUUCCGAGUGUAGAGGUGAAAUUCGUAGAUAUUCGGAGGAACACCAGUGGCGAAGGCGGCUCACUGGCUCGGUACUGACGCUGAGGUGCGAAAGCGUGGGGAGCAAACAGGAUUAGAUACCCUAGUAGUCC